CCUAUGGGGGGCAGCAGUCGCGAAAACUUCACAAUGGGGGCAACCCCGAUGAGGGAAUUCCUAGUGCUAGCUCUUUUUGAGUUAGCUUUUCUUUAGCGUAGAUAACUAAAGGAAUAAGGGCUGGGUAAGACGGGUGCCAGCCGCCGCGGUAAUACCUGCAGCCCAAGUGGUGGCCGAUAGUAUUGAGUCUAAAACGUUCGUAGCCGGUCUGGUAAAUCUUUGGGUAAAUCGGGGAGCUUAACUUUCCGACUUCUGAGGAGACUACCAGACUUGGGACCGGGAGAGGCUAGAGGUACUUCUGGGGUAGGGGUAAAAUCCUGUAAUCCUAGAAGGACCACCGGUGGCGAAGGCGUCUAGCUAGAACGGAUCCGACGGUGAGGGACGAAGCCUUGGGGCGCAAACGGGAUUAGAUACCCCCGUAGUCC
rnacentral:rRNA from 1 species